rnacentral:misc_RNA from 1 species
GAUGAAGAACGCAGCGAAAUGCGAUAAGUAGUGUGAAUUGCAGAAUUCAGUGAAUCAUCGAAUCUUUGAACGCACAUUGCGCCUCCUGGCAUUCCGGGAGGCAUGCCUGUUCGAGCGUCAUCAAACCCCAUCGUGCAAAUGAAUUAUUUUUUUUGCGCGGAAGUGACGAUUGAGCGAGAAUAACAAAUCCUCUCGCACCUCGUCGAAAUGAUUGCGGGCGGAAUUUGGGAUCGGGUUCCUCGGCGUAGUGUAUCAAUGCAUAUUUAUGCAACUUGCCGCGGAGUUGAGCCUGACCCACGUGUUCUCGCCGUACAAACACCUCAUUACUUUACAAGUUUUUGACCUCGGAUCAGGUAGGGAUACCCGCUGAACUUAAGCAUAUCAAUAAGCGGAGGA